GAAGAGCCCGAGUCAUCUGUGUGAAAAAAUGGAGCCAUCUGAAGCAGAUGCAAUGAUCAAAAAGACACCACCUGUUGAAGAGGACCAUGGUGAGGAUAACAGAAAUGUCUCACUGCCCUCCUGUGCCUCCUCAAAUGCACUGAUCCAAAAGACACCACCUGUUGAAUAGGA